UUAGGAAUUUUGGGCAAUGGGCGCAAGCCUGACCCAGCAACGCCGCGUGGGUGAUGAAGGCCUUCGGGUCGUAAAGCCCUUUUCCCAGGGAAGAUGGUGACGGUACCUGGGGAAUCAGCCCCGGCUAACUACGUGCCAGCAGCCGCGGUAAUACGUAGGGGGCAAGCGUUGUCCGGAUUUAUUGGGCGUAAAGCGCUCGCAGGCGGCUUGAUGCGUCGUGCGUGAAACACCCCGGCUCAACUGGGGAGGGUCGUGCGAUACGGUCAGGCUGGAGGCCAGUAGGGGGAUGCGGAAUUCCGGGUGUAGUGGUGGAAUGCGUAGAGAUCCGGAGGAACACCAGCGGCGAAGGCGGCAUCCUGGACUGGUACUGACGCUCAUGAGCGAAAGCGUGGGGAGCGAUCC
rnacentral:rRNA from 1 species